rnacentral:rRNA from 1 species
GAUGAACGCUAGCUACAGGCUUAACACAUGCAAGUCGAGGGGUAACGAGAGGAAAGCUUGCUUUCCUUGUCGACGACCGGCGCACGGGUGAGUAACGCGUAUCCAACCUGCCCCCAACUAGGGAAUAACCUUGCGAAAGUAAGACUAAUACCCUAUAAUUUCCUCAGAUGUCAUCUGACGAGGAAUAGAGAUUUAUCGGUUGUGGAUGGGGAUGCGUCUGAUUGGCUUGUUGGCGGGGUAACGGCCCCCCAAGGCAACGAUCAGUAGGGGUUCUGAGAGGAAGGUCCCCCACAUUGGAACUGAGACACGGUCCAAACUCCUACGGGAGGCAGCAGUGAGGAAUAUUGGUCAAUGGGCGGAAGCCUGAACCAGCCAAGUAGCGUGCAGGAUGACGGCCCUAUGGGUCGUAAACUGCUUUUAUACAGGAAUAAAGUUAGCCACGUGUGGUUAUUUGUAGGUACUGUAUGAAUAAGGACCGGCUAAUUCCGUGCCAGCCGCCGCAGUAA